rnacentral:rRNA from 2 species
UUGGUGGCGACCGGCGCACGGGUGAGUAACGCGUAUGCAACCCACUUAUCAGAGGGGAAUAACCCGGCGAAAGUCGGACUAAUACCGCAUAAAACAGGGACACCGCAUGGUGAUAUUUGUUAAAGAAAUUCGCUGAUAGAUGGGCAUGCGUUCCAUUAGGUAGUUGGUGAGGUAACGGCUCACCAAGCCGACGAUGGAUAGGGGAACUGAGAGGUUGGUCCCCCACACUGGUACUGAGACACGGACCAGACUCCUACGGGAGGCAGCAGUGAGGAAUAUUGGUCAAUGGGCGAGAGCCUGAACCAGCCAAGUCGCGUGAAGGAAGAAGGAUCUAUGGUUCGUAAACUUCUUUUGCAGGGGAAUAAAGUGCAGGACGUGUCCUGUUUUGUAUGUACCCUGAGAAUAAGGAUCGGCUAACUCCGUGCCAGCAGCCGCGGUAAUACGGAGGAUCCGAGCGUUAUCCGGAUUUAUUGGGUUUAAAGGGUGCGUAGGUGGUUUGAUAAGUCAGCGGUGAAAGUUUGCAGCUUAACUGUAAAAAUGCCGUUGAAACUGUCGGACUUGAGUGUAAAUGAGGUAGGCGGAAUGCGUGGUGUAGCGGUGAAAUGCUUAGAUAUCACGAAGAACUCCGAUUG